CUUCACCCAACUUAUCUUAUCCCCAGAACACAGUAACUUAAUAACAUAAGUGUUUUUCUGACAUUUUUGGGAAAUUUAAGGGAAAAUAAAAAAUACAGCCCAAGCAGAGCCCCAAGUCCCAUGGAGACGUCCUCGAGGGCGUGGAUGUUCUCCCCAUCAAAGGCCAGCGGGAUUUCAUUCUCAUGGUGAAAUGGAUUUCCACCGAUGUGCAGUAAAGGAGUGAAGAGCGGUGAAAUCUGUGUCAACAAAACCUUCCUCUCCUCUGAAGACCCAGUGAGGGUGGAGCUCAGUCAGAGAGCUGUUGAGGGACUGGUUAGGAAGAACACUUCUACAGCCAGAGAGGGGCAGUCAAGAAAUGGAACGGCAAGGCCACAGAACAUGACAUAAGCAGAGCUGUGGGAGACCACCUCAAGCCCCUGGUAGAGCCGGGGGUGGUGUUCACCACUCCACCACGCCUUCAGCAGGCUGGAAAAGUGGGAUUGAUCUGUUUGAUCCAUUUGUCUGUUUCAGUUUUCAGUAGUUUGAUCCUUUGAUGUAUUGUUCAUUUAAACAUUUUUCAUUUUCAACAAAUGCACUGGGUUGGUUGAAAAGUGAUACUAAACUUACAUACCAUGCACUGAAUUGAUACUGUUUUUCAUACGUAGAUGGACCAUGCGCUAUAAUGACAAGGUAGAAGAUAAAUUCAGUCCAAAGAUGGACCAAAAUAUGCCUUUGCACAAACAGAAACUUAACUAAAAGACUGAGCAUUUUAAGGAAAUGUCAUUGAUUCAAAUAUUAACAAUUGGAUGCAACAUCCAAUACAAAUUAUAAACUUGUUUUACUCCAUUGUUUGUUGUUAUGUUCUCCAUCAAGAAACCCCCAAAAACUAAAUGUUACAUGAAUUGGAAAAAAUAUCAAAAGCAAAUGUGAUUGGUGAGGCAUGGAAUAAUAAAACAUAUCUUUGUCAGGCUGAAUGUUUGAAAUAUGAGGUGAUUUGAGUCAUGCUUCUUCAGUAGUGGAAUAAAGACAAUUAGCAUUUGAA